rnacentral:misc_RNA from 1 species
UUUCCCUAGGUGAACCUGCGGAAGGAUCAUUAAAGAAUGCCCCGUUUUUCGAAAUGGGUUCUAUUCCCAAACCGUGUCUACAUACCUUUGUUGCUUUGGCGGGCCGCCUUCGGGCGUUGGCCUCGGCUAACUGUGCCCGCCAGGGGACCCAAACUCGUUUUGUUUAGUGAUGUCUGAGUACUACAAAAUAGUUAAAACUUUCAACAACGGAUCUCUUGGUUCUG